UGGUGUUGGUGCUGUGUCUCCUACAA
rnacentral:piRNA from 1 species